AUUAGAGUUUGAUAGUGGCUCAGGAUGAACGCUGGCGGCGUGCUUAAUACAUGCAAGUCGAACGAGGAACUAUUUUCUUCGGAAGAAAGUUUCCUAGUGGCGAACGGGUGAGUAACACGUUGGUGACCUGCCCCGAAGCGGGGGAUAACAGUCCGAAAGGAUUGCUAAUACCUCAUGAUAUCAAUAGGAUUAGAUACCUUUUGAUCAAAGGCGAAAGCCACUUUGGGAGGGGCCUGCGUCCCAUCAGCUAGUUGGUAGGGUAAUGGCCUACCAAGGCUAAGACGGGUAGGGGACCUGAGAGGGUGGACCCCCACACUGGCACUGAAACACGGGCCAGACACCUACGGGUGGCAGCAGUAGGGAAUUUUGGACAAUGGGCGAAAGCCUGAUCCAGCAACGCCGCGUGCGCGAUGACGGCCUUCGGGUUGUAAAGCGCUUUUAGAGGAGAUGAGAAAGGACAGUAUCCUCUGAAUAAGCCUCGGCGAACUACGUGCCAGCAGCCGCGGUAAAACGUAGGAGGCAAGCGUUAUCCGGAUUUAUUGGGCGUAAAGCGUGUGCAGGCGGUUUGGUAAGUUGGAUGUGAAAGCUCCUGGCUUAACUGGGAGACGUCGUUCAGAACUGCCAGACUGGAGAAUGGGAGAGGGAGGUGGAAUUCUGGGUGUAGUGGUGAAAUGCGUAGAUAUCCAGAGGAACACCAGUGGCGAAAGCGGCCUCCUAGACCAUUUCUGACGCUAAGACACGAAAGCUAGGGUAGCAAACGGGAUUAGAGACCCCGGUAGUCCUAGCUGUAAACGAUGUAGACUUGGCGUUGGCGGAGUUAAAUCUGCCAGUGCCGAAGCUAACGCGUGAAGUCUACCGCCUGGGGACUACGAUCGCAAGAUUAAAACUCAAAGGAAUUGACGGGGACCCGCACAAGCAGCGGAGCGUGUGGUUUAAUUCGAUGUUACACGAAGAACCUUACCAGGGUUUGACAUGUAAGUGGUAGUGAUCCGAAAGGUGAACGACCCCUCGGGGAGCUUACACAGGUGCUGCAUGGCUGUCGUCAGCUCGUGUCGUGAGAUGUUCGGUUAAGUCCGCUAACGAGCGCAACCCUCACUGUGUGUUAUACGUGUCACACGGGACUGCCGGUUUUAAGCCGGAGGAAGGCGAGGAUGACGUCAAGUCAGCAUGGCCUUUAUAUCCUGGGCUACACACACGCUACAAUGGUCUGUACAAUAGGUUGCCAAGCCGCGAGGCGGAGCCAAUCCAAAAAAGCAGGCCUCAGUUCAGAUUGCAGGCUGCAACUCGCCUGCAUGAAGAUGGAGUUGCUAGUAACCGCAGGUCAGCUAUACUGCGGUGAAUACGUUCCCGGGUCUUGUACACACCGCCCGUCACGUCAUGGAAGCUGGCAACACCUGAAGCCGGUAUCCUAACCGCAAGGAGGGAGCCGUCGAAGGUGGGGUUGGUGACUGGGACGAAGUCGUAACAAGGUAGGUGUUCCUGAAGGUGCGCCUGGAUCACCUCCUUUUUGAAU
rnacentral:rRNA from 1 species